UCAAAUCUAGGAUUCUCUUCCGCAUACGCAAUCUCAACAAGUGGUUGAAAAUCAAGAAAGGGAAACAGAGGAUAAUGGGUUACAAAGGUUGAUUAAAAAUUUUCUUUGAAUAGCUCAAAUAAAGCAGAUGUUCAGUAAAGUAUUAACAAGUGAAAACACGGAAACUGUCCGUCGAAUAACUGCAGUAAAGUCCACAAGAAUUGGCAAUAAUUUUAUCUGGUGGAGGUUUAUAUACUGCUGCAUUGAAGCUGCUUACUGGCUUCGGAUUAUCACCUCUUCUCAUAUGGGUACGCCACAUUACCAAGGAAGCGCCAAUGAAGCAUGAGCGUGGUCAUAGGAAAGUGAAAUGGCUGAUUUGCUUCAUCGCAAUAAAGCAACCAAUCUGGCCCGAUCACUGUUACAAAAGCUCAUUUAUGAUCCUGAGUUAGAAAAUUCUACUAGCGUAUGUAAACAUAUAGCAAACAAGCUGCUAAGUCUCAACGCUUUUAUACCGCAAUGGCUAUAUAAUGACUAAAAGUUGGCGAAUUGUCCAGAGCUCUUGUAUAUGUUCGUCAAACAUAAUUCCUUAAUUAAAGCUGCCAAUUACCACAUGGCAGCCGGUUCUACGUUACCGGAAUGACUCGGCUUUUUUUCCUGACCAAGGGCUGCCGCCCCAGUAAACUAGCCCUGUCUAGUGUACCGUAUCCCACCAUCAAUCUUUCGUCACAGGAGCAAUCCCUUGCAGCAGAUUUGCUCCAAUUACUUCUCUUCAGGGCUGGCGUCGAACCAGACCCUGGACCAGAGGUAUUUUACUGCUGCAUCUACCACAAACGGCUCCACCCGAACUCCACCUCGGUGCCAUCUUAAGACCUGUUCAGGUCUUGAGACUCAUAGGGAGUGGUACACAAGGUAUAGGGCCCCUGCCUCAACGGCGAUACCGUCAUCAGUGCCGGUAAGCCAAACUGCCGCCGCCAACCAUACCUUAGCUGUAAGGAUCCCUCAGGCGCAACACAACUCCCCCACUGACCCACAACC